CGCAUUAGGGGAAGGAGAAGAGAAAUUCACCGAAACCCUUACGGUGAUUUCAAAACGCCGUAACUUCUUCGUUCGAGCUCCAAUCGUCGCAUCGUUUGCGGUCACGUGUCCACCGCGUCGAGCUCUACGUUUCUACUGGAACAAUUUCAUAGGAUCUAAUUAACUUGAGGAAAAUGUUCACUCUUACUUAUGUGAAGCUUGGGUAAGGUUGUGAAUAAAUAAUUGGAGCUUGAAAUUGUGAAUACUGGAACUUGGAGGAAGCUGAUUAGUUGAGGU